rnacentral:rRNA from 1 species
GAUGAACGCUAGCGGCAGGCCUAAUACAUGCAAGACGAACGGUAAGUUGAGUAGCAAUACUUAGCCAAGAGUGUCGUACGGGUGCGUAACACGUAUGCAACCUACCCUAUACAGGAGGAUAGCCUAGGGAAACCUGGAUUAACCCUUCAUAGUAUUAUUGGAUGGCAUCAUUUGAUAAUUAAAACUGAGGUGGUAUAGGAUGGGCAUGCGUCUGAUUAGUUAGUUGGCGGGGUAAUGGCCCACCAAGACGAUGAUCAGUAGGGGUUCUGAGAGGAAGAUCCCCCACACUGGCACUGAGAUACGGGCCAGACUCCCUACGGGAGGCAGCAGUAGGGAAUAUUGGUCAAUGGAUGCAAGUCUGAACCAGCCAUGCCGCGUGCAGGAAGA